rnacentral:rRNA from 1 species
UACGUAGGGUGCGAGCGUUAAUCGGAAUUACUGGGCGUAAAGCGUGCGCAGGCGGUUAGCCGAGUCCGAUGUGAAAGCCCCGGGCUCAACCUGGGAAUGGCAUUGGAAACUGGCUGGCUGGAGUGUGGCAGAGGGGGGUGGAAUUCCACGUGUAGCAGUGAAAUGCGUAGAGAUGUGGAGGAACACCGAUGGCGAAGGCAGCCCCCUGGGCCAACACUGACGCUCAGGCACGAAAGCGUGGGGAG